rfam:Photobacterium damselae subsp. damselae CIP 102761 Contig58, whole genome shotgun sequence.
AUUUGACACGGCCCUACGGUAGCAAGUCUUGCUCCAACAUUUGGCCGCGGCGCGAUGAC